UGAUAGCUGUGAAGCGUGAGGUUGCGGCCGACAGGCCGGUUUUCCGUGGAGCGAAUGUCAGUUAAAAAUGACGACAA
rnacentral:ncRNA from 1 species